rnacentral:misc_RNA from 1 species
GAUGAAGAACGUAGCGAAAUGCGAUAAGUAAUGUGAAUUGCAGAAUUCAGUGAAUCAUCGAAUCUUUGAACGCACCUUGCGCCCUUUGGCCAUUCCGAAGGGCAUGCCUGUUUGAGUAUCAUGAACACCUCAACUCUUCAUGGUUUUCCGUGAUGAGCUUGGACUUUGGGGGUCUUGCUGGCCUAUGGUCAGCUCCUCUAAAAUAAAUCAGCUUGCCAGUGUUUGGUGGGUAUCACAGGUGUGAUAACUAUCUACGCUUGUGGUUUUCCACCAGGUAACCUUCAGCAGUGGAGGUUCGCUGGAGCUCACAGAUGUGUCUCUCCUCAGUGAGGACAGCUCUUUGAAUGUUUGAUCUCAAAUCAGGUAGGACUACCCGCUGAACUUAAGCAUAUCAAUAGGCGGAGGA